CCUACGGGAGGCAGCAGUGGGGAAUAUUGGACAAUGGGGGGAACCCUGAUCCAGCCAUGCCGCGUGUGUGAAGAAGGCCUUUUGGUUGUAAAGCACUUUAAGCGAGGAGGAGGCUCCUGUAGAUAAUACCUACAGUGAGUGGACGUUACUCGCAGAAUAAGCACCGGCUAACUCUGUGCCAGCAGCCGCGGUAAUACAGAGGGUGCGAGCGUUAAUCGGAUUUACUGGGCGUAAAGCGUGCGUAGGCGGCUGAUUAAGUCGGAUGUGAAAUCCCUGAGCUUAACUUAGGAAUUGCAUUCGAUACUGGUCAGCUAGAGUAUGGGAGAGGAUGGUAGAAUUCCAGGUGUAGCGGUGAAAUGCGUAGAGAUCUGGAGGAAUACCGAUGGCGAAGGCAGCCAUCUGGCCUAAUACUGACGCUGAGGUACGAAAGCAUGGGGAGCAAACAGGAUUAGAUACCCUAGUAGUC
rnacentral:rRNA from 1 species